rnacentral:tRNA from 1 species
UAAUUUUUUAGUAUAACGGUACAUCUAGCUUCCAACUAGAAAGUCUAAUUGUUUAGAAAAAUU